UCUAGGGUUUAUUUCGUUUAAUUUUCUCGUUCCUUCAAAAGGCGAAAUGUUUCAAUCUUCCGAUGGUCUAAAAUAGUGAUUUAGUCGAGAGCGUUUGAGAAAUUUGGAAGGUGUCCCUGAAUCUGCAGAUGCAGAUAGAUUUAAAAUGAUUGUAAAAGAGGCUAAAGAAAUGGGGGUUUGAUCCCUUCAAAAUUACAUUUCUUGUAGCUAUAAAAUUGGAUUGGCAUCAAUUAACAAAGCCGAUUGGAGAAGUAAGAUGGAUGUUUACAAGAGAUGGGGUUGAUCUGUGGAUCAAUUUCAAUCAGUAUUUAGGAGAAAUCCUGUUCUAUUGUGGCUUCUGAGAAGAAGAGGAUUAUGGGGGUUAUAAUUUCCUGUAAAUUCAAUGAGUUAUGAUUUAUCAAGUAUCGCCGGAACUCCAAUAGUCAUUACCUGUAGCAAGCAUUAAAGGAGAGAUGAGGAUUUUGGUCUUCAAGUGUCUGAUUUGAGCAAGACGUUGUGUUUCAAGGUCGGCUGAAUUACCAAGAGCUGCUUCAAGUGGAUGAUUUCUUGAGUUGUUUACAAAGGAUAGUCCUUGGAAACAGAGUAUAAUUAGCUGAUUUUGUAUCAUGGAUUGGUACUGGGAAUGAGAGGUUAAAUUAUCUUAUUGCUGGAGAUUCAGAAGGUGAUUAUGUGAUUGAGGAGAUUCUUCUCAUCCUCGCAGUUAUUCAUAGAACAAGGUUAAGCUGGGACAGUAAGAAGAGCAUCUUCUAAGACAAUAUAUGUGUUUAUGUGCAGAAUGGAAGAAGAAUCUGUGAAUCAUCUUUUCCGCAUUUUCAGAUUUCAAGGGAAUUUUAGUCCUCUCAUACUUCAAAUUAGGGAUGGGCACAGGGCUUUUGCGCACAGUAUGAUUGAUAUGGUCUGGUUCUGGGCAUCUUUUGGUUUAUCAGCGAAAGGGAAGAUAGUAUGGAAUUUCAUUCCAUCAGCUGCAAUUUGGGUGCUGUGGAAUCAAUGAAACAAGAGAAUUUUUGAGGAUAAAUAAGCGUUCAAAACAAAUUCGGACUUGGGCCCUUGCCACUAGUUCUAACCUACAUAUUAACUCUUCUAGUUCAGUUCUAGAUUGGCCAUCAGUAUUCAUGGCACUUUCUUGCAGUUUGCUCUUUAUAGCUACUACUUGUAGGUGCUUGUAAUUUUUUUUAAUGGAAUCUUCUCUUCUGAUUUAAAAAAAAAGAAAGGUUAAGCUGGGAUUGCCCGUGUGGUUCCAUGAAGCUGUGAUAGGAAACACACUCGCACUAUCUGAGUUUACGCGGAUGGUUUCUCAAUUUACUUUGCUACUUUGCGAAAGAUAAAUUGAAGGUGAAGCCAAUGCUUUGAUUAUUUAUUGAUUUUUUUCAGGUCUUAUUUGGACACUCAUUUAUGCGCAUUGUUGAUUGUAUAUGCAGCAAUGUGCAUUCUGUUCUUUAACUUUUGGGGUGUAAUUAGCAACUUGCCUCGUGUUAGGGCAAACAUAUAUACU